UUCAUUUUUUAAAGUUCCAUGAAAAAAAAUCGUGCGAAUUUUUUCUUUUUUGUUUGGUAUAUCUAGGUUCCAUACAGGUUACAAGCUUUAAUAUUAACCACUUUUCAAUGAAAUUCAAUCUCUUGGAAAAUAUAUUUAAUGAAGUAAUUUUGGGUUAUUUUUUCCUGAACUAAGACGUGUCGUGUAUCAUGCUAAACAUAUUUCUUUCCUGAAUUUUUCGUUACUUUCCACUGGUUUGCAAAAGAAAAAUAUCAAUAAACUGUUUUUGUGUAUGUUACGGUCCGGAAAUGCCGGACGGACGCCGUUGGCCAUUACAAUACCCCUCCAGCCUAUUCACGGCCGUCUCAGCCCGAAAUAAAGAGGGCGCCCUCACUGUUCUGAAAGGGCCAUUCGAAACUCGCGCUUGUUGUUUACGUGCGUCGUGCGCUACUCAUAAAAUAUUCAAAUCGGUCAGGCAAGCGCGCCUGAUGGGUUUGUAUUUCUCGUAUGCCCAUUGGUUAACGGCUUGAUGCAAAUGAGAAAGGUAUGCAAAUAAAGAGCAAAGGUCACAUUUACAUUGAUAUUUAAAUACCAAACCUUCUAGACGGCCCUGGCAGGAACUAGGUUGCAGCUUGUGUGGGUCACUCACGUGGUGUAACUGCGAGCGCGAACGAAGGGAAUGUUUUAUGAAGUGUGAAAAAAACCCUCAUUUUUAACGGGAAAAAUCAUUUUUGAUGAUUUUUGUGGCAUAUCAUUGGUGUAAUCGAUAACUACUUGUGUGGAUUGAGAUAUGGUUUAAAGGUACUCUGGAAAUAAGAAAGUACAAGAAUAAUGGCAACAUGUACUCAGUACCCUACACUUGCUGCAUUUGGGCAUUUCAUCAAAUGAGUGCUGACACACCUGUUUGAUUUUCAAGUGAUGGAGUUGACCUCAGGAGCUGUUGCGAUGUGGUGGCGCCUCAUCACAGUCAUAUCAACCUUUGCAAGUUGUCCAGCAUCCCACUGACUGCCCGGCCUGUACGGUUGAAUUGAGUGUGGAUGAGCUGCCCACCCUGCUCAUUCAGGAGACCGAAUCCCACACCGAAGCGUCCCAGCUGGUUCACCGCAUGAUCCUCUAGGAGGUGCAUUUUGGGAGUAAUGCUGGCCUCAGGAAAGUGCUGCCUGUAUGUGUGCAAGAAAUCCUUGAUGCAUGCAUCUGUGUGUAUGAGAAACAGUGAGGAAUAAGAGUGACAAACAGCAGUGAAUCCAAUCGCAUCGUACAUAGCUAGCCCUUGCGUACGCGGCCGCCGUGACGUUUGCACAUUAAGGUAUUACUCCCUGUGAACGAGAUUAUUUUGUCACUUCGUGAGAAUAUAAUGCACGCGCCAUGCAUGAUUUUCGUUCUCACGAAGUGACGAUGAGAUAUUAAUAUGCACUUCGUAAAAAUGCAAAUGAUUGUGUGGUGGGCAUUUUGUCAUUUCUAAUUAAUCGUUAAUUAAAAAACUAAUUAAUAUUCCGCUUUCAAACUUUGGCAGAUGGGUCCUUCUCAUUAUAACAAAAUGACCGAAAAAAAAACCAAAUCUGAAAAAGGACGCAUUUUCAGGGUUUUUGUGACUUCGUGAGCAAAGCGACAAUUUAACUCUAUAGUCCUCAGACUCAAGAAUCUAUUUGGGUUUCUUUAAUCCGUUAACCUUACUAAGUCUUAACCAGUGUCAUAAAAUAAACCGUCUCUAUUACUAACACAUUUUUCGUAUCUCGGACGUAUAGGUUCAUUGUAUAUGUUAUAAGUAUCGUAAAACUUAUCAACGCGACCAUUAGUGACCAUGCCUCUUUCUUGAUCUAAAACGUCAUCAAUGUCAGUAGUAGUAACGGGUAUAUCAGGAGUAUCAAAGUUGUCAUCUAGAUUGGUCUCUGCUUCAUCAUCAUCAUCGUUAUCAUCAUUUCUUUCAUAGUCAAAGGGAUCUAUGUCUAUUCCUCCCUCAGCCAUUUAUUUAAUAAACCUAUUUAAA